rnacentral:rRNA from 1 species
GACGAACGCUGGCGGCGUGCUUAACACAUGCAAGUCGAACGGUAAGGCCCUUCGGGGUACACGAGUGGCGAACGGGUGAGUAACACGUGGGUGAUCUGCCCUGCGCUUCGGGAUAAGCCUGGGAAACUGGGUCUAAUACCGGAUAGGACCACUGCCUGCAUGGGUGGUGGUGGAAAGCUUUUGCGGUGUGGGAUGGGCCCGCGGCCUUUCGGCUUGUUGGUGGGGGGAUGGCCUACCAAGGCGACGACGGGUAGCCGGCCUGAGAGGGUGACCGGCCACACUGGGGCUGAGAUACGGCCCAGACUCCUACGGGAGGCAGCAGUGGGGAAUAUUGCACAAUGGGCGCAAGCCUGAUGCAGCGACGCCGCGUGAGGGAUGACGGCCUUCGGGUUGUAAACCUCUUUCAGCACCGACGAAGCGCAAGUGACGGUAGGUGCAGAAGAAGGACCGGCCAACUACGUGCCAGCCGCCGCGGUAA